UCAUUUUUAUUUUCUUGUGAACCUCUUGUAUAUCCCUCAAAGGUGAUAUAGAUUCCAAAUUUGGGGCUUGCUUAAGGUACAGAUCUUCUGAAUCUAAAAUCUAAGUUUCUUAUUAUGCCCAUCCUUAACCUUCUGAAGGCCCCUCAUUUUCAAUUGAUUGUUCCUAGAAAUUAGCUCAUCAUCAGAGCUUACAGAAGAAGUAGAAGAACCAUCGCCUUUACUGCCUACGACUCUUGUCCUUACCUCACCCUUGAGGUUAUCAUAAAGAACAUAAAUACAUUUAAUUUGGAUUUGUGGUGAAGAAAAUGAUGAAUUAGAUUUGGAUUUCGGCUACGGAUCUAGAUUGUUGGCGUUUUAGAACUUGGUUUCUUUGAUUUUGAUGAGUUUUAAAAUUUUUAUUUUGAAUUAUUUUGGAUUUGGAUUUGUGAUGUAGAUGUUUGAGUUAUUUUGGAUUUGUUGAUGGUGUAGAUGGAGGUCUGUGGGGA
rnacentral:lncRNA from 1 species